UACGUAGGGCGCAAGCGUUAUCCGGAAUUAUUGGGCGUAAAGAGCUCGUAGGCGGUUUGUCGCGUCUGCCGUGAAAGUCCGGGGCUCAACUCCGGAUCUGCGGUGGGUACGGGCAGACUAGAGUGAUGUAGGGGAGACUGGAAUUCCUGGUGUAGCGGUGAAAUGCGCAGAUAUCAGGAGGAACACCGAUGGCGAAGGCAGGUCUCUGGGCCGAUACUGACGCUGAGGAGCGAAAGCAUGGGUAGCGAACAGG
rnacentral:rRNA from 1 species